rnacentral:misc_RNA from 1 species
CCCUGCCGCACAGCACCUUGCUCAGCGCCAACCUCAGGCCGCUCGCGACGCCCGAGCCAGAGCCGCCGCCGGCGGCGGCGGCGGCCCUCCUCUUCUUGAACCCUUGGUUGCAGAGCCUGAACAGCCGCCGGCACGCGGCGGCGGGGCAGCAGCCCAGUCCUCCUCCUGCUACUCCUGCUCCCACCGCGCCACGCCCGCGCCGGGGCCGCCUUGCCCUGGCGGUCUCGACGAGGAACGGUUCCUGCUGCUCCUGCAGCAGCUCCGAGAGCCUCCUCGCGGCGGCCAUGCGCGCGGGCACGCAGCAGCUCAGCGGGUGGUCAACAAC